rnacentral:rRNA from 1 species
AGAGUUUGAUCAUGGCUCAGGAUGAACGCUAGCGGCAGGCCUAACACAUGCAAGUCGAGGGGUAACAGGGGAGUUCGCUUCCGCUGACGACCGGCGCACGGGUGAGUAUCGCGUUUGUAACCUACCUUUAACUGGAAGAUAGCCCGAAGAAAUUCGGAUUAAUACUCCAUAACACUAUAGUUUGGCAUCAUUUUAUAGUUAAAGCUCCGGCGGUUAAAGAUGGGCAUGCGUAACAUUAGCUAGUUGGUGAGGUAAGAGCUCACCAAGGCUACGAUGUUUAGGGGGUCUGAGAGGAUGGUCCCCCACACUGGUACUGAGACACGGACCAGACUCCUACGGGAGGCAGCAGUGAGGAAUAUUGGUCAAUGGGCGAAAGCCUGAACCAGCCAUGCCGCGUGAAGGAUGACGGCGCUACGCGUUGUAAACUUCUUUUAUACGAGAAGAAACCACUCUACGUGUAGAGUGCUGACGGUAUCGUAUGAAUAAGCAUCGGCUAACUCCGUGCCAGCAGCCGCGGUAAUACGGAGGAUGCAAGCGUUAUCCGGAUUUAUUGGGUUUAAAGGGUGCGUAGGCGGAAGAUUAAGUCAGUGGUGAAAUCCUGCAGCUCAACUGUAGAACUGUCAUUGAUACUGAUUUUCUUGAAUACAGUUGAGGUAGGCGGAAUAUGUAAUGUAGCGGUGAAAUGCUUAGAUAUUACAUAGAACACCGAUUGCGAAGGCAGCUUACUAAACUGUGAUUGACGCUGAAGCACGAAAGCGUGGGGAGCGAACAGGAUUAGAUACCCUGGUAGUCCACGCCGUAAACGAUGAUUACUCGUUGUUGGCAAUACAUCGUCAGCGACUGAGCGAAAGCAUUAAGUAACCCACCUG